AUUGAACGCUGGCGGCAGGCCUAACACAUGCAAGUCGAGCGAGCGUCGGACGGGUGAGUAAUGUAUGGGGACUGCCCGAUAGAGGGGGAUAACUACUGGAAACGGUAGCUAAUACCGCAUACUAUCGGAUAACCCAUAUGGGAUUAGCUAGUGGGUGAGGUAAUGGCUCACCUAGGCGACGCUCCCUAGCUGGUCUGGGAGGAUGAUCAGCCACACUGGGACUUAGACACGGCCCAGACUCCUAGGGGGGGAGCAGUGGGGAAUAUUGCACAAUGGGCGCAAGCCUGAUGCAGCAAUGCCGCGUGUAUGAAGAAGGCCCUAGGGUUGUAAAGUACUUUCAGUCGGGAGGCGUUACCGACAGAAGAAGCACCGGCUAACUCCGUGCCAGCAGCCGCGGUAAUUC
rnacentral:rRNA from 1 species